rnacentral:rRNA from 1 species
AUUGAACGCUGGCGGCAUGCCUUACACAUGCAAGUCGAACGGCAGCACGGGUGCUUGCACCUGGUGGCGAGUGGCGAACGGGUGAGUAAUACAUCGGAACAUGUCCUGUAGUGGGGGAUAGCCCGGCGAAAGCCGGAUUAAUACCGCAUACGAUCUACGGAUGAAAGCGGGGGACCUUGGGGCCUCGCGCUAUGGGUUUAGCCGGUGGCUCGUUAGCUAGGUGGGGGGGUAAAGGCCUACCAAGGCGACGCUCAGUAGCUGGUCUGAGAGGACGACCAGCCACACUGGGACUGAGACACGGCCCAGACUCCUACGGGAGGCAGCAGUGGGGAAUUUUGGACAAGGGGGGAAAGCCUGAUACAGCAAUGCCGCGUGUGUGAAGAAGGCCUUCGGGUUGGAAAGCACUUUUGUCCGGCAAGAAAUCCUUGGCCCUAAUACGGUCGGGGGAUGACGGUACCGGAAGAAUAAGCACCGGCUAACUACGUG